rnacentral:rRNA from 1 species
UACGUAGGGUGCAAGCGUUGUCCGGAUUUAUUGGGCGCAAAGCGCUCGCAGGCGGUUUGAUGCGUCGGGUGUGAAAGCCCCCGGCUCAACUGGGGAGGGUCAUGCGAUACGGGCAGACUGGAGGCCAGUAGGGGGAUGCGGAAUUCCGGGUGUAGUGGUGGAAUGCGUAGAGAUCCGGAGGAACACCAGCGGCGAAGGCGGCAUCCUGGACUGGUACUGACGCUCAGGAGCGAAAGCGUGGGGAGCGAUCAGG